CAGUAGCCGCGGUAAUACGAGGGGGGCAAGCGUUGUUCGGAAUUAUUGGGCGUAAAGGGCGCGUAGGCGGUUUGACAAGUUUGGUGUGAAAUCUAUGGGCUCAACCCAUAGCCUGCAUCGAAAACUGUCGGGCUUGAGUAUGGGAGAGGUGAGUGGAAUUUCCGGUGUAGCGGUGAAAUGCGUAGAUAUCGGAAGGAACACCUGUGGCGAAAGCGGCUCACUGGACCAUUACUGACGCUGAGGCGCGAAAGCUAGGGGAGCAAACAGGAUUAGAUACCCGCGUAGUCCCUGUCUCUUAUAC
rnacentral:rRNA from 1 species